rnacentral:sRNA from 1 species
AGUCCCGGCUGCGGCACCUGGGAGAAGGCAGUCUGUGUGAGGGGGCCUGUGGCCCCAGCGUGCUGUGGCCUCGGGGAGUGGGAAGUGGAGGCAAGAGCCUUCCUUACACUUCACCAUGAGUUUCCUGAUCGACUCCAGUAUCAUGAUUACCUCCCAGAUACUAUUUUUUGGAUUUGGGUGGCUUUUCUUCAUGCGCCAAUUGUUUAAAGACUAUGAGAUACGUCAGUAUGUUGUACAGGUGAUCUUCUCUGUGACGUUUGCAUUUUCUUGCACCAUGUUUGAGCUCAUCAUCUUUGAAAUCUUAGGAGUAUUGAAUAGCAGCUCCCGUUAUUUUCACUGGAAAAUGAACCUGUGUGUAAUUCUGCUGAUCCUGGUUUUCAUGGUGCCUUUUUACAUUGGCUAUUUUAUUGUGAGCAAUAUCCGACUACGUAAGUAUUUUACCCUCUCAGUCAGCAUAUAGAUUGAGAUGAGUAUUUGAGGGGACUUAGAUGG